rnacentral:rRNA from 1 species
CGCUGGCGGCAUGCCUAACACAUGCAAGUCGAACGAGACCUUCGGGUCUAGUGGCGCACGGGUGCGUAACGCGUGGGAAUCUGCCCUUGGGUUCGGAAUAACAGUUAGAAAUGACUGCUAAUACCGGAUAAUGUCUUCGGACCAAAGAUUUAUCGCCUUUAGAUGGGCCCGCGUAAGAUUAGCUAGUUGGUGGGGUAAAGGCCUACCAAGGCGACGAUCUUUAGCUGGUCUGAGAGGAUGAUCAGCCACACUGGGACUGAGACACGGCCCAGACUCCUACGGGAGGCAGCAGUGGGGAAUAUUGGACAAUGGGCGAAAGCCUGAUCCAGCAAUGCCGCGUGAGUGAUGAAGGCCUUAGGGUUGUAAAGCUCUUUACCCGAGAUGAUAAUGACAGUAUCGGGAGAAUAAGCUCCGGCUAACUCCGUG